UGUCCUUAUCUUGAGAAAAUUUGAACAAAAUCGAAACAAAUAACGUUGUGAGUGAGCUUUUAAUCUUGUGAUUUACUCUCAUGAGUGCAAGAUGAAAAGCUUUUUUGUAUUUGUGCUAUUCUGAUUUGAUUGAUUAUUACAUUUUCAGCACCACAGCUCCCCGGAGAGCAGUCAAGAAGCGAGCAUCAUCUUGAAACGAUAGGUUCAACAUCACCUGAGCCUGCAGACACAAAGGAUAGAAGUAGUCAUACUGAAGUCCUUACAAGACCUAGACCGUUGACUCCACCAUCGAUAGAGUCACCGCCAUGUGAACGUGCCUACCAAGUCACACAUGAAUUGAUAACAGAGACAGAGACAGUUGACGGAAGUAGUCCUACUGAAGUCCUUACAAGACCUAGCCCUUCGAUUUCAUCGGCAGAUCCACUGUCACGGGAACAUGCCUACCGAGUCACACAUGAUUAUGUAACAGAGACAGUAGCUCCACCAGCGUGUGCGGCACACAUUGUCCAAGAAUUGGUUCCAGGACUUUCAGCCCACCAAAUG